rnacentral:rRNA from 1 species
UCCGUAGGCGGAUUAAUAAGUCAGAGGUGAAAUCCCGCAGCUUAACUGUGGAACUGCCUUUGAUACUGUUAGUCUUGAGUUAUAUGGAAGUAGAUAGAAUGUGUAGUGUAGCGGUGAAAUGCUUAGAGAUUACACAGAAUACCGAUUGCGAAGGCAGUCUACUACGUAUAUACUGACGCUAAUGGACGAAAGCGUGGGGAGCGAACAGGAUUAGAUACCCUGGUAGUCC